rnacentral:lncRNA from 1 species
AUAUAGUCAAUACUUGAUAAAAGUUUCUCAUUUCAAUUGACACAUCUCAUUAUCAAGCCUACAAUCACAGGUCAUAAUGAAAUAUUCCUCACAUUUGUUUCUUGAUUUGUUGCUCCUUCUCCGGAAGUGUGCGUAUGUCUGCACGGAAGGUGAAUGUUUCAGCAUGAAAUUCUUUGGGAACAUUUGUUUCAUCAAGUUGCAGGGCAGAAAAGCACGGCCUCCUGUUCACCAAGGACUCAGUGGAAUCCAUACUCUCCAAGUUUCUCAAAAAGUUCACAGUUCUGUUGGACUAAAUUCUUAGGCUCAUCUAUCAGAGGCUGAAGCUCAUCAAACUGGAAGAUAAAAGAACUGUGUUUCAGACACCAGUCAGUGCUGGAGAGAACGUGUGGAAAAGGGAGUUCUCCUAUGUUGCUGACGGGCAUGUAAACUAGUAUAAGCACUAUGGAAAUCAGUAUGGAGAUUUGUCCAUAAACUAAAAAUAUAGAGUCUGAAAAAUAAAAUGUAUACACAUUUCAGCAGUUGGAUGUACUAAUAAAUGUCUGGAAACUAAUGAUCACUUCUGUGAGCACCUUUUGUUAUUGUAGAGGCAAUGGUAAUUGUAUUAAUCCCAUGAUGUCUCAGUAAAUUUAGUAUUAAAAUAUUGACACAAGUUUUUCUUUUCUGGUGUAUACUUUUUUUAAUGGACUCUGUAUAAAAAUACCAUCUGAUUCAGGUACAUCUCUCAUGGGUAUACUCCCAAAAGAAAAGGCACCACAGUGCAGUGAUACGUGUAUACCCAUGUCAGUAUACAGCAGUGCAAUUCAUGACACAAGCUCUGGAGACAGCUGAGAUCACUUUCCAGAGAUGAAUGGAUAAAGAAAAUGUGGUAUAUGUAUGCAAUGGCAUAGUAUUCAGCCAUAAAGAAGAAUGAAACCCUAUCAUUUGCACAAUAAUGGAUGGAACUUGAGACCAUGAUACCAAGUGAAAUAAGUUAGACUCAGAAAGCUAAAUAUGGUAUGUUUCUUUUUUAGGAGAAACCUAAAAUAUAAAUAAGUAAAUAAAAUAAAGGAAAAGUGAUGCAAGCUAGAUAGCUGGCUUUGAAGAUGGGGAAAAUUAGGGGGAAGAGAGCAAAAAGGAAAAAAGGAAUUGAAAAUGAUCAAGAUAUAUUAAAUGCAUGAAUCAAUUCCCCAAACAAACAUCACUAUUUUAUAUUUUAAAUGUAAACACAGAUACAAUGUUUAAAAAGAAUUGUGUUUAUAGUAUUCCCUUUGAGAACCAGAUGCAUAUCAUCUUUGACCUCUUAUGUAUUUCUGCUCAAAAUCACAUGAGUAUAUCUUCAACACAUGUGUCACAUUACACCCAGAUUGUCUUUUUAUUUGGAGAGACUGCAUAGUACAGUAGUUAAGAAUCUUCAGGCUUUGCAGUUCAGUCUUACAGCCAGGCCAUCUGACUCAUUUUCUAGUUGUGCGUCUUCGCUUACCGUCCCCAAGCUUCAGAAUCCUCAUUUCUAUAAUAAAGGUGAUGAUAUUGUUUACCUCACAGAACUCAUAAACCAACUAAGUCGGUGACAUUAAAGUUGCACCAGGUACACAGGAAAAGUUCAGUGAAUGAUGGUGCAUUGCUGUUAUUAUUUUUAUUAUUGUGCCUGAACUCAGUUGAACUGAGUUGGAGCCUGAGUUCUCUCAGGUAAUAUAUUUUUGCCUUCUGCAUCAGCUGCACUGUGGCUCCUGGCAUACAGCAGCUUCUUGGUAGAG